rnacentral:rRNA from 1 species
AAAUUGAAGAGUUUGAUCAUGGCUCAGAUUGAACGCUGGCGGCAGGCCUAACACAUGCAAGUCGAACGGUAACAGGAAGCAGCUUGCUGCUUUGCUGACGAGUGGCGGACGGGUGAGUAAUGUCUGGGAAACUGCCUGAUGGAGGGGGAUAACUACUGGAAACGGUAGCUAAUACCGCAUAACGUCGCAAGACCAAAGAGGGGGACCUUCGGGCCUCUUGCCAUCGGAUGUGCCCAGAUGGGAUUAGCUAGUAGGUGGGGUAAAGGCUCACCUAGGCGACGAUCCCU